CUGGGGGUGGAAUGCCGUUCUCUCACACUUGAUACAUAGAUGCAGUCUUUUCUUGAAAAUUACAGCAGCACUCCAG
rnacentral:sRNA from 1 species